AAAGUACUCCCUCCGUUCGGAAAUACUUGUCGGAGAAAUGGAUGUACCUAGAUGUAUUCUAGUUCUAGAUACACCCAUUUUUAUCCAUUUUAGCGACAAGUAAUUCCGGACGGAGGGAGUACAUG
rfam:Triticum urartu cultivar G1812 contig822943, whole genome shotgun sequence.